rnacentral:tRNA from 1 species
CCCUAGGAAAAGGGGGAGGACUUAAGAUCCUCUGGCGUAGGCCUCCAUGGGUUCAAAUCCCAU